CCUACGGGCGGCAGCAGUGAGGAAUAUUGGUCAAUGGACGCAAGUCUGAACCAGCCAUUCCGCGUGCAGGAAGAAGGCUCUAUGAGUUGUAAACUGCUUUUGUACGAGGGUAAACGCAGAUACGCGUAUCUGUCUGAAAGGAUCGUACGAAUAAAGAUCGGCUAACUCCGUGCCAGCAGCCGCGGUAAUACGGAGGAUUCAAGCGUUAUCCGGAUUUAUUGGGUUUAAAGGGUGCGUAGGCGGUCGGAGAAGUUAGAUGUGAAAUCCCGAGGCUCAACUUCGGAAUUGCCUCUGAUACUGUGCGGCUAGAGAGUAGUUGCGGUAGGCGGAAUGUAUGGUGUAGCGGUGAAAUGCUUAGAGAUCAUACAGAACACCGAUUGCGAAGGCAGCUUACCAAGCUACUUCUGACGUUGAGGCACGAAAGCGUGGGGAGCAAACAGGAUUAGAUACCCGAGUAGUC
rnacentral:rRNA from 1 species